GCGUCACUUCUGUCGCAGUAUCAAGAUGGACUUCGUUUGUUCGGAACGCACGUGCUAAAGGUCUACUGGUUUUUCCCUACGAUCAAUGCAGAAGCUUGGAAGAUCUGAACAUUUCUACUACAUUUUCACCUGGAAACUCUAUAAGAAUUUCAGGCACAGGAGUUGGCACUUGGAAAGAACUGACAUUGUCUCGCCAUCCGAAGCCCGACCGUUACAGUGACAGCAGAAGUGCAACAUCUAAUGCUGUACAUAAAUACUACCACAAUGCCACUUGGAACAUACUGUUGUUAGUAUGGUUCAUCUUGAUUGAUACCUGAAAAGACUUAAAUUAAUAUAUUAUGAUUACGUGUAGUAACUAAGUCACAAGAAAGAAUUCCAUGAAGUUUGAUGACAAAACAAAGCUUGCACUUAAAAUACCUAAACCAAAUACAUAUGUAAGAAAGCUAAAUCAAUGGAUGUUUUAUUGUUAUUGUUAAUUACCAUCAAAAAUGUUUAAAGAGUAUUUAAUAUUUCAUAGAAUUCAGAAGAAUUGUAGCUAACAUAAAUGGCAUUUGUAAAUAUAAUACACA